rnacentral:rRNA from 1 species
ACUCCUACGGGAGGCAGCAGAUGGGGAAUAUUGCACAAUGGGCGCAAGCCUGAUGCAGCCAUGCCGCGUGUGUGAAGAAGGCCUUCGGGUUGUAAAGCACUUUCAGCGAGGAGGAAGGUGGUGAACUUAAUACGUUCAUCAAUUGACGUUACUCGCAGAAGAAGCACCGGCUAACUCCGUGCCCCAGCAGCCGCGGUAAU